rnacentral:rRNA from 1 species
UACGUAGGGGGCAAGCGUUGUCCGGAUUUAUUGGGCGUAAAGAGCGUGUAGGCGGCCAGACAAGUCUGCUGUGAAAACUCGAGGCUCAACCUCGAGCUGUCGGUGGAAACUGUCUGGCUAGAGUCCGGAAGAGGAGAGUGGAAUUCCUGGUGUAGCAGUGAAAUGCGCAGAUAUCAGGAAGAACACCUAUGGCGAAGGCAGCUCUCUGGGACGGUACUGACGCUGAGACGCGAAAGCGUGGGGAGCGAACAGG